CCUUGGCUAGCUCAGUCGGUAGAGCAUGAGAUUCUUCAUCUCAGGGUCGUGGUUUUGAGCCCCUCGUUGGGCG
rfam:Danio rerio chromosome 4, GRCz11 reference primary assembly.